AACGUAGGAGGCGAGCGUUAUCCGGAUUCACUGGGCGUAAAGCGCAUGUAGGUGGUUCGUUAAGGGAGUAGUGAAAGCCCCUGGCUCAACUGGGGGAGGUCUACUCCAACUGGCGGACUGGAGGGCCAGAGAGGAAGGUGGAAUUCCCGGUGUAGCGGUGGAAUGCGUAGAGAUCGGGAGGAACACCAGUGGCGAAAGCGGCCUUCUGGCUGGACCCUGACACUGAGAUGCGAAAGCGUGGGGAGCAAAC
rnacentral:rRNA from 1 species